CCCUUAGAUGUUCUGGGCCGCACGCGCGCUACACUGAUGCAUUCAACGAGUCUAAAACCUGGUCUGAUAGGGCGGGGUAAUCUUUUGAAAGUGCAUCGUGAUUGGGAUAGAUGAUUGCAAUUCUUCAUCUUCAACGAGGAAUGCCUAGUAAACGCAAGUCAUCAGCUUGCAUUGAUUACGUCCCUGCCCUUUGUACACACCGCCCGUCGCUCCUACCGAUUGAAUGAUCCGAUGAAUACCAUGGAUUGAGAGUACGAAUGGGUUCGCUCAUUUCUGCUGCUCGAGAAGUGGAGUAAAUCUUAUCAUUUAGAGGAAGGGGAAGUCGUAACA
rnacentral:rRNA from 1 species